GUGCUUAGAAACAGCCGGUGCUGCGCUGAUACCGAGACGACGAGAAAGGAUUAAUAGUUUCUUUCCUGCAAUCCCGGCAGCAGCGAGCAGACGUUCGCGUCUUUAUAGAAUGAUGCGAAUCUUCGAAGUCGCAUCUUAAGAUACGUAGAAAGCUUCGAGAAGAAACGUGGCACUGAUUACGAUGGAUGAUAAUGGCGUACUCCUCGAUAAAGUGCGGCGCAACGAGAGCGAAUUCAAGGAUCACGCACGGCUCUUCGCGCUUUCGUAAGUAUGCCUGUGCAACGCGGCCGGUUUCCGCCAACAAGGCGAAGUUGCAGUCAAAGUGCAGAAUCGUGUAAAUCGGUUGGUGCGAUUCAUCAGGAGGUCCAACGACGACAAGUCCCGUUUCGCGCGUCGGAGAUUAAUAACGAUAAGAUAAAGCGCAUAAAGUUGCAAUUUUUUGAGCCUCGAGUGUAUUCAAUGUUUCGUACAAUGCGUCUAUAAAAUUAUAUUUAGUAAAUAUCUACAAGGACCAUUACGCUAGGAUAUUUAUAAAAUAAACGCGUGAUUACAUUA